rnacentral:tRNA from 2 species
UGGGUUGUGACUCAGUGGUAGUGUGCUUGCCUUGCAUGCAUGGGGCACUGGGCUCAAUCCUCAGCACCACAU